rnacentral:rRNA from 1 species
GACUAUGGCCAUAUCAUCCUGAACAUACCUGAUCUCAUCUGAUCUCAGAAGCUAAGCAGAAUCAAUUAGGCCUGGUUUGUAUUUGGAUGGGAGACCACCUGCGAAUGCCGGGUGCUAUAGGCU